rnacentral:rRNA from 1 species
UGAGGAAUAUUGGGCAAUGCCCGCAAGGGUGACCCAGCAACGCCGCGUGGAGGAUGAAUGUCGUAAGAUUGUAAACUCCUGUUAGAGGGGAAGAAUAGUACCGGUUGGACCGGUAUAUGACUGUACCCUCAGAGAAAGCCCCGGCUAACUACGUGCCAGCAGCCGCGGUAAUACGUAGGGGGCAAGCGUUGUCCGGAUUUACUGGGUGUAAAGGGUGCGCAGGCGGAUGGGUAAGUCAGGGGUGAAAGUCUGCAGCUUAACUGUAGAAUUGCCUUUGAUACUGCUCAUCUUGAGUGUGGGAGAGGUGGAUGGAAUUCCAGGUGUAGCAGUGAAAUGCGUAGAUAUCUGGAAGAACACCAGUGGCGAAGGCGGUCAACUGGCCCAUAACUGACGCUCAUGCACGAAAGCGUGGGGAGCAAACA